UCUUAGCCCCGAUUGUAGCGGCAUCCUUUUUAUUUUUUACUGAAAAAUAAAAAGAUACAGUGGAAAGCGGGACCGGUU
rnacentral:sRNA from 1 species